AAAAUCCUUGUGAAUUCUGUUUCUUUCCUCCUUGUCGUUUAGGAGAGAAACCUUGCAAAUAUAGGUCCAAAGAGAGCAUCACAUCUUCCCUGUGAUGGAGGCCUGGAAGGAGUUCUGGAGAAAUGUUCAUUCCUGGCGUGACUAACGGUGGGAGCGGCCUCUUGGCUUUCCUGAAUGUGAACCUUCUCCAAGAUGCUGGGGGACAACACCCUGCAAUUUACGGAACCGGACAGAGCCAAGCUGUCUCCGGGUGGUUCGGGGUAUGGAUGGGAUGAGCCCUUAAGAGUAUGUAGCCAGGGCUCCCAAGGCAAUGGCUUCCUGAUUCCAUGCACACGUGAGGUCACUGGAAUCCAGAGCUGGGCAGGCAGCGUUCCCUGGAGAGUGCCAGGGUGUGGACAAACGUCCGAGUCAGACAUGCAGGGGAGGCAUCUGGCUCCUCUACUUUUCGGCCACCAGCCUGGAGGUACAGGGCCAAGUGACACCAUGGUGGGGACUGUGUAGACACGGCCAUGGGGCCUCCUGCCUUCCCAUGCUCCCCUCUCUUGCCAGGAGACCAUGCUGGAGGUGGAGCCCCAGGUCUGGACAGUUGGUCCCAUUGGGCUCCAAGGCCACAGGCCGGGCCGUGUGACCACGAGUCCCACCCCCACUGCUGGAGGAUUCCCUGAGAAGACCCUGUGGGGCCCUCCCGCUAUCCAGGGCUUCCCUCGAGGACCACUCCAGCUCUUUCAUCAUCAAAGGCAGACGCACUAUUCGUAAAUGUUUUCCAGGAAGAGGCAGCAAUCAAGUAAAAUUGCACAUCAGACUUUCUGGGGCCCCUGCCCUCUCUCCCGGGAGACUGCCCACGACGAACCAAGUCUGCAGAGGAAAACGUGACGAGCCUCUUCCAGGCCACGUGGAAAGAGCAUGUGGCCUUCUCUCCUGAGUUGCUGUGCACCAGGCCGCUCUCACCAACAGGUCAGAUGGCGGCUUCCUGGCAACAGAGGAACUGAGUUCCCACCUUGCUUUCCCUCUUCAUUUAUUCAGGACUGUCUUCAUGACCGGUCUCUCAUCAGGUCAGAUAUGGGCUGGGAAGCAGGUGUAGUGGAGUCUAGGGGAAUCAGGAGUCAAGUGAGCGCUUGGGCCGCUCAGGGCUGGCCGUGGCCAGGGAUGUGGUACUGGUCCAGAGACCUAAAGCUUGGUGAUGCCCCUGAUGGUUUCUGCUUCCCAAGCUGUUGCGCUGAACAUGACAAAAUGUUCGUGUUUAUUUAAUACAAUUACAGCUGUUACAACUUGUGGGUUUGUAAAACCCCGAAUGUAAUCAUGCGGCACCUCUGAACGUCCUACUCAAACUGAGAAACCCAGCGCUCCCGUGGGGCUUUGGCGACAACCCUCCCAAGCCGGCGAGAAGCGUCCGGAGGUUGGCAGGUGUUAGGCCACAGAGCCUUCAGGAUGGAGGAGCCACAGAAGGUCGUGAAGAAAGCAUUCAUUCCAGCACGGGGAGCUUGGCCCCAUCUCCGUUCCUCCAUUUGAAGCAGAGCAACCUAACUAUGGUUGUGUUUGAAGUGAAAUCGUGAUCGGGCCGAUUUUCCACAAACUAUCGCUUCCAUAGAUCAGCCUAUUAUUUCAUAUAUUUUCUUUGCUUCUCCAAUGAUCUGUAGUUAAGGAUCAUGUUUCUUUCAGUCUGUGAUCACAUUUUUAGUGAGAUAAAAUAGACAUUCAAAAUACAAGCCAACUUUCUCAAUUAUUAGAGCCAACAGAUAUUAAAUGACUCUGUUUGCUUUGCUGUGAAAGUUGUAAACCCUUACUGCCAAGUUCUGUCCUCAUGUGGUGCUCGCACCGAGUGUCGUGGUUCUAGAGAAAGGUUUGCCUCUCAGAGGGUGUCUCUGUGUGUUUGCACCUGUGUGUAAUGUUUAGAAUCUUCCACGUAUGCUUUUUCAUGAUUAGGAGACUCGGCUCACAUCCUGACAAGUUGGAUGGGAGAACUGACCCAAAUGAGCUGUUUGCACAGCACAUAUUUGCACUGAAACUUCUGUCCAGGCUUUGCUUUAUUUCUAUCAUUAAACCUGAUUUAUCUUUCU